GUUGCAUGUGGCUUACGGCGAGAGCACGGCCUUGAUCGCGGGUGAUGCCUUGCAGGCACUGGUGUUCGAAUCGUUGGCGCAACC
rnacentral:tRNA from 1 species